UACGUAGGGGGCAAGCGUUGUCCGGAUUUAUUGGGCGUAAAGAGCGUGUAGGCGGCUUUACAGGUCCGUUGUGAAAACUCGAGGCUCAACCUCGAGACGCCGGUGGAAACCGUAAGGCUAGAGUCCGGAAGAGGAGAGUGGAAUUCCUGGUGUAACGGUGAAAUGCGCAGAUAUCAGGAGGAACACCAGCGGCGAAGGCGCUGCUCUGGGCCGGUACUGACGCUGAGGAGCGAAAGCGUGGGGAGCGAACAGG
rnacentral:rRNA from 1 species